GCCUACGGGGGGCAGCAGUAGGGAAUAUUGCUCAAUGGGGGAAACCCUGAAGCAGCAACGCCGCGUGGAGGAUGAAGGUUUUCGGAUUGUAAACUCCUUUUGUUAGAGAAGAUAAUGACGGUAUCUAACGAAUAAGCACCGGCUAACUCCGUGCCAGCAGCCGCGGUAAUACGGAGGGUGCAAGCGUUACUCGGAAUCACUGGGCGUAAAGAGCGCGUAGGCGGGAUAGCAAGUCAGAUGUGAAAUCCUAUGGCUUAACCAUAGAACUGCAUUUGAAACUGUUUUUCUCGAGUAUGGGAGUGGUG
rnacentral:rRNA from 1 species